ACAUUUUUUUAAUUAUUGUUCUUUAUUUCUAAUAUUUCUGAUUUCUACUCCGCAAGUGCGGAGCUAUUUACAUCUGUGGUAAUACACGAUAUACCAAAGCUUACAGAAUAGAAUACAAGUUGGGUCACUCCGGUCGGCGUUCAAAAUCCACCCCGCAGUUCCCCGUCUUCCCGGUGCACCAGACCUGGGCACAUUUAUUUAUCCAUGUAUCCGAGCGCUCCAAGCUCAUUUCAGUUUUACUUACAUUUCGGUGUAUAGGGUGGAGUUUAAAGAAAUAGUUGUGGGUUUUAUUAAUUGUGUAGAGAAUAAAAUGUCUAAUCGAAAUAUUUGUUCAGUGGAUGGUUGUGAAAGUCGAAUGACAGAUCAGAUAUCGUUUUUUAGGUGCCCUAAAGAUGAAGCAAGGUAUCAAGCUUGAAAAAAUGCCCUAGGAUUUAUAGGAUCCCAUAGAUACGCGGAUAAUACUCCAAAGCAAUGUUAUAACCGUAUUAGAAUUUGUAGUUUGCAUUUUAAUGAUGACAACUUUACAAAUUCCUCGAAAACCCGAAUUCAUUCGUAUGCCAUCCCAUCGAUUGGAGUACCUACCCAAAAAGACAAUGCACAUUUUCCUAGAGCCAGUGUUAAUGCCAUUGUUCAGACAGAACCCUUCAAAGUAAAUGAGCCAAAGCAGCCGUUACUAAAAGUGGUACGGGAUGGAGUAAAUGCGUAAAUCUGGCUGAGCCAAAUUUUGCUGAGAAAAUGCAAACAAUGCGGCGUUCUGAGAAUAAGGAUUUAUACUUAACUGAUCAAGAGGCUGAAGAUGUUAUAGAUAAUUGAGACGAAGAUCCAGAUUAUGUUAUUUAAGAAAGUGAAGACUCCAGAGAUAAAGCAUUUCGUUCAGACAGUGAACUUUUAAAACUAGAUGAACCUCUGGAUAAUUAACAACAAACUAGAUCCGAUGAUCCCUUACAAGCAGAAAUGAACAUAUUCCAGAAAAAAGAUGGUUUGCAGUGGCAAGCGAAGAAGCCUCCCACAAACACAAAAACUUAACAAUAUUAAAGGGUUGCCAGCUCUAACCUCUAAUAAUAACCCGACUAAAUCAGACAUUUGGAUUUUUUUAGUAGAACUUGGACAAAUAUAAAAAUUAUAUAACUUCUAUUAGAGAAAAUUUGUCUAAUUUCACUUGUAACAUAUAAGUAAGUUAAAUAUUUUUUAAUACACGUGGGGUUAAUGUGCAAGUAUUAUAAACUAUUAAUAGUAUUAAGCAAUUAUAUGUAUUAAUGCAAUUAGUUUAAAUGGGUUGAUGACAUAAGGGAAAUAUGUAAGUAACACCAAUUGGUGUAAUCAUUUAAUUUUAUAAUAAAAUAUAGC